rnacentral:antisense_RNA from 1 species
CAGAGUGGACGCCGAGGCCGAGGAGACGCCAAGAGCGAUGAAACAAGCUUCCGGUUCAAGGGUUUCUUCAGGUUCCACUACGGGCUGUUCUUCUGCAGGUGCACCGAUGUCCACAGUGCUACCUUCUGAUGAGCUACUGCUUUCAUUCAGUUUCUGCUGACUUAAUAUGUGAGCUGACAGAAUGCAGAGACCACGUUGUAUAUGAAGCAUCCACUUUGCCUUAUACACCAGGGCAUUCAAUAACCACUUAAUAACUACAACCCUGAUGAUGAGGUCUCGCUAUGUUGCCUAGGCUAGUCUUGAACUCCUGGCCUCAAAUGAUCCUUCUGCUUCAGCAUCGGGAGUCACUGGGAUUAAAGGCAUGAGCCACCAUGCUCAGAAUACAAACAAAGACCCAUUUUCUAGAAGAAGUAACAGGGAAGAGAGAGUAAGAAAGAGAUAAUGAUGAACAUUGUCUAAUGUUACAGCAUAAUCUAGUAAGGAACUUGACAUCAUCAGACAGUAAAUCAAGAGGUACUGACAACUGAGACUGAGUGAUGGUCCCUGCCUAGGAUUUGGAAUCUUUGCAUGAAAUAGGGACUCUAGCCACCAGUGACAAAGAAGUCAGGGAGACUGC